GCAUCUAGAUUAGAGUCGAUCAUGGCUCAGAUUGAACGCUGGCGGCAGGCCUAACACAUGCAAGUCGAGCGGAUGAGUGGAGCUUGCUCCAUGAUUCAGCGGCGGACGGGUGAGUAAUGCCUAGGAAUCUGCCUGGUAGUGGGGGACAACGUUUCGAAAGGAACGCUAAUACCGCAUACGUCCUACGGGAGAAAGCAGGGGACCUUAGGGCCUUGCGCUAUCAGAUGAGCCUAGGUCGGAUUAGCUAGUUGGUGGGGUAAAGGCCUACCAAGGCGACGAUCCGUAACUGGUCUGAGAGGAUGAUCAGUCACACUGGAACUGAGACACGGUCCAGACUCCUACGGGAGGCAGCAGUGGGGAAUAUUGGACAAUGGGCGAAAGCCUGAUCCAGCCAUGCCGCGUGUGUGAACGAAGGUCUUCGGAUCGUAAAGCACUUUAAGUUGGGAGGAAGGGCAGUAAGUUAAUACCUUGCUGUUUUGACGUUACCAACAGAAUAAGCACCGGCUAACUUCGU
rnacentral:rRNA from 1 species